rnacentral:rRNA from 1 species
GCAUAUCAAUAAGCGGAGGAAAAGAAACUAACAAGGAUUCCCCUAGUAACGGCGAGUGAAGCGGGAAGAGCUCAAAUUUGUAAUCUGGCACUUUCAGUGUCCGAGUUGUAAUCUCGAGAAGUGUUUUCCGCGCCGGACCGCAUACAAGUCUGUUGGAAUACAGCGUCAUAGUGGUGAGAACCCCGUAACUGAUGCGGAUGCCCGGUGCUUUGUGAUACACUUUCGAAGAGUCGAGUUGUUUGGGAAUGCAGCUCAAAUUGGGUGGUAAAUUCCAUCUAAAGCUAAAUAUUGGCGAGAGACCGAUAGCGAACAAGUACCGUGAGGGAAAGAUGAAAAGCACUUUGGAAAGAGAGUUAACAGUACGUGAAAUUGUUGGAAGGGAAACGCAUGAGGUCAGACUUGCUAUUUGGAAUUCAGCCGCAAGGUGUACUUUUCAAUUCGCAGGCCAGCAUCAGUUUUCGGGGGUGGAAAAGGGUAGAGAGAAGGUGGCUGUUUCGGCAGUGUUAUAGCUCUUUACUGGAUUCAUCCUUGGGGACUGAGGAACGCAGCGCGCUUUUUGCAAGGCUUUCGAGCUUUUCGUGCUUAGGAUGCUGGUGGAAUGGCCUUAUACGACCCGUCUUGAAACACGGACCAAGGAGUCUAACAUGCUUGCGAGUGUUU